rnacentral:rRNA from 1 species
CACAGAGGGGGCAAGCGUUCCUCGGAUUCACUGGGCGUAAAGGGCGCGUAGGGGGCCUCGCAAGUGUUGUGUGAAAACCCAGGGCUAAACCCUGGAAGGGCACUGGACACUGUUAGGCUUGAGUUCGGUAGAGGAGCGUGGAAUUCCAGGUGUAGCGGUGAAAUGCGUAGAUAUCGGGAGGAACACCGGUGGCGAAGGCGGCUCUCUGGGCCGAAACUGACGCUGAGGCGCGAAAGCGUGGGGAGCAAACAGG